GGAAUUCGCCCUUUUGAUUACGUCCCUGCCCUUUGUACACACCGCCCGUCGCUGUCCGGGACUGAGCUGUUUCGAGAAGAGUGGAGACUGCUGUAUCGGGGCUUUCGGGCUCUGGUAUGAUGGAAACCAUUUUAAUCGCAAUGGCUUGAACCGGGCAAAAGUCGUAACAAGGUAUCUGUAGGUGAACCUGCAGAUGGAUCAUCGCUGAAAACCUUAUGGUUAUGCUUUGGUCACGAGAGAUCGGUGCUACUGGAAUCAGGCUUGCUCUUGAUUUCAAUCGGUAUCUCACCCCAUCUAAGCUCUCGGAGAGGUGUCUAAUCGCAAUCGGAGUCGCUUUGAGUGACGGCAAUGAAGAUUGUGUGUGUUCCCCGUAAGGGUAGAGCAUAGACUUUAAGAACAGUGCUGGGACUGUCCCCUCACCAACCGUCGAUUACUGGUGGCUAUGAGUGACUUCGGUCACUCGAGAUCUGCUACGCAGAGAGCCUCAAUGAGUUGUUCGUCCAACCGCCGGUGUCGAUAGAAAUUUUUUCCUAUUAACUUGUUUCUUGAUUCGUGUUAAUACAUUUUGGCACAAUGUAUUAGCUUCAGCGAUGGAUCGGUUGAUUCGCGUAUCGAUGAAAAACGCAGCAAGCUGCGUUAUUUACCACGAAUUGCAGACGCUUAGAGUGGUGAAGUUUUGAACGCACAGCGCCGUUGGGUUUUCCCUUCGGCACGUCUGGCUCAGGGUUGUUUAAAGUACUGCGGUGUUGCUGCGAAAGUAGCAACACCGAAUGUCGAACGGCGUUAGUGUUACUACUGGCCCCGUUCUAGUUCCGAAUAUUGGCAACAUGUCUUCUUCGUGAAGACGCCGUAGAGAGUAUAAGUCUGUACCUAUGGAUGUGUCGCGUAUGAAAUAUGAUGCUUCCCAUACAUAGCGAGGAGGUGCUUCUUAUGCUAUCUUGCUUAUGCAACCUGAGCUCAGUCGUGAUUACCCGCCGAACUUAAGCAUAUCAUUCAGCGGAGGAAAAGAAACUAACUAGGAUUCCCUUAGUAACGGCGAGUGAAAAAGGGCGAAUU
rnacentral:rRNA from 1 species